rnacentral:snoRNA from 1 species
GUGGAGGACUAAGAAGGCUGAGUCUGAUGAAGCAAGGCUCUGCUGAUACAAUCCUCCUAGAAAAAGGGGUUGGAGAGAGCAGUCCUUACUGCAGAAUAUUACAGGGCUGACUGUACUGCCCGACAUGC